CGCUGCAGCCCUGGUUCUCAGUGUGGGUUUACGUAGUCUGAGAGGUGGAAACAGAAAAUAGAGAUUGUCGUUCUCGUUAUUAUAGUUAUAGUAGGUUUGAGUUGUCACAAUGGUGAAUUUUUGUGUUUGUUUUGGAUGCAACAACUCCAACUUGUCUGGCCAUCGGGUCCACCGAUUUCCAAACAAGAAACACAAAGAUUUCCGUGCUUGGAUACGUUUCGUCCAGGCAAAGAGAAGCAAUUUCGCUGCCUCCUCGUUGACAAGACACACGGUGGUAUGUGAAAAACACUUCACACCGGACAGCUACAACCAAGGAGAUCUUAUGGAAUUUCGCAUGGGAUUUCGACGAAAAGAGUGGGUUAGGCUGGCAAAUGGAGCUGUGCCAUCGGUGCAUGCAGGUCCACCUGCAAAAUCUGGCGGGAGUGAAGAGUCUAACGUUAAUGUUAGCACUAGGAGAGAAUCUGCGCGUCGAAAAAGGGAGCUUUGCACAGCCUGCGGAACUUGUGGUUAUGAGCGUUACUGGCAAAACCAAGAGAAGGUGCAUCAAAACAUGCCUGCCUGCAACCUUUUACUCAGCGGUGCCAUCCACUUCUCAGGUUGCAUGGCUUCUCAGACAAUCAGGAUGCUGAAGCUGUUUGGACUGCAGUGCAUAAGUCCUGGCACUUUUUUCUGCCAUCAGCGCUAUUACUCUAUCCCUACCAUCAUGCAGGCCUGGAGGAAUGAGCAGAGGGGGAUCAUCAGGGAGUUGAAGUAGACUGGGGGUGGAUUGAUCCUGUCUGGUGAUUGCAGAUCAGAUUCUCCUGGACACUGUGCCAAAUACGGUAACUACUCCUUGAUUGAGGAUCGAAUUAACAAAGUUUUGGAUGUUCAGCUUGUCCAAAGCUCAGAAGUCCCAAGCAGCUCUUGGUGUGAGCUAGAGGGUCUAAAGCGGAGUAUGCAGUUCUUGAUGGACCAAGACAUGCAAGUGGCAGGUGGCCAAGUGGGUACGUGAGAAAAUGUGUUCAGAAGGAACAAGGCAUUUCUUUGACGUCUGGCAUAUUGGGAAAAGUGUACAGAAAGCACUGGAUGCUGCUGCAAAAGAGAGGGACUGUGAGGAUCUGAAGCUGUGGAGGCCAGCCAUCAUCAACCAUCUCUACUGGACCGCAGCUUCCACCCCUACAGGAGAUCCAGAUGAGAUGCAGGCAAAAUGUACAGGACAUACAUGAACACAGCACUCCUGCAUUUGCCAGCUGCGCACAUCCACCGUUGGAAGGAGAGGCAAGAAACAAGGAGUGGCUGGAACCAGGAUCACCAGCACCUACUAAACUGGAGAGUGUAGCUGCCAGGAAAGCACUGGUAAAGGAUAUUCGACAAUUGUCACCUCAGCAUCAGACAUUCUCCCUGGAGGCCUACCAUUCCCUCAAUCUGCACUUUGCUCCCAAACAUACUGGCUUUUCUUUUCUUGGGAUGUACAGCAGACUUCUCUUGGCAGCCCUACAUUUCAAUAGUAAUGGCAACAGAGAUGUAGCGCGAACUAGUGAGGGUGAGGGACGCUACGCUGUUCGCUACCCACGGUUUCGGAAAGGUGGCUGGGUAGUCCACCCCAUCAAGGAGAAACCAUCUUACGGUUAGUAGUUUCACUUAGUUUUUCAAUAUC